AUUGUUUCAAGUUGUGUUGUUGUGAAGUACUGGGCAUACAUAUAUAUAUGUUUUAGGUGGUAUGUAUCCUUACACAUUGCUUGGUUAGUUGGUUAUAAAAUCUGUCUCCUGUUUUUGUUUACGGAGGCAUAUAAAUUUUAAUGUGAAACAUUUUAGUACUAAAUAAAUUUCUUUUGGCAUUCUAUCUUAGCUUUCACUAAAGUUUGGAUGAUCAUUUCAGCAGCUUUCUCUUGAAAAAUUUUAGAAGAUGCACAUAAAUAUAUAUUGUAGAUGGUUGUGUAUUUGUUCUUUAGUUGCACUUGGUUCAGGUCAACCGUUUGAUAUGAUGGAGGAUAAGCUUUUAGUCAUCUUAUCCCCAAGUUAAUUGGUUUGAAUUUAAUCAAUGUUCGUAAGUCAGCCCUUUUAGUUCAGUGUUGAACAAUCAUCCAGGUUUCCUUUUGUAGGUCCAUGAAAUUUUUGCACAAAUGUUUAUAUUUUAGCUUGAUCUCAUUGUUCUGAUUCAGAGAACUAGAAGCUGGUGGAUGAGUUAUUUGUGUGAUCAUUUGUGUCGUGUGAUGAUUUAGGUUAGAAGAUGAAAAAAUUGGUCGUUACAGCAGACAGAGAGAUUGGUGCUUUGCCUUACUAUUUUGUCCCUUUUGGCUCCUAGUUAUAGUUAUAAAACCUUUGGAAGGAGACUAAGUUGCCUUGCAUUGUAGAUUGUAUGCAGAAUGGUUAGAUUUUAUUCUAGAGGUGGGUUUUUUAAAUUGUGUAGCUUGGUUUACAAAAUUAUGCUAUUAUUGAAUGCAAAUGAGUCCAUGUACAUUAGUUAAAGUUGAAAUGCUGAUGAUAUUAAAAUGCUAUUAUGGUUCGAACUGAAUCAUGUAAUUUGAUGUUGGAUGAUUGCUCAAGGACUAGUUAAAGUCUUUGAUUCACUCAAUCAUUAGUAUAUUGCUUUGCUUGAUAACAAAUGAAAAAACUGGAUGACUGUUUUAUUAGUUUUGCAUGUAACCAUUUUAUUAAAUGCCUAUGUUAUUGUUAUUCAGUGUUUGGUGAGUCGGUAGCUUUGGAAUUUGAAAGAGUAGAGAUAUUUGGUGUUUCACACAAGGGUAACUUGUGAUGACCAGGAAACUGAUAAAUCUUCGAAAUUUUUUUUUUCCCUCCUAGAUUUUUAGGGAUUUUCUAUUUACUGUUUUUGUGCCUGUGUAUGUUUGUUAUGGAUUGGUUAGUGGGUAAGUUGAGAGGUUUUUUUUUCCCUUGCACAUUUUUUUUUUUGACAGUUGCAAUUUCAGACAUCAAAGUUUCAUCACUGCAAGUUACAUAUGUGAGCUACAAUUUUGCUGGCAUUUACUCAACUGGCGGCAUUCACUCUGCUGGGUCAUUCAUUCAUGGGUGUCUCUGCAAUGGGGUUUGCUCAUUCAUUGCCCUGGUUUUUUGUUUUUGUUUUUUCGCCCUGGCAUAGUUAUUCUUGUAAUUAAAACAACUAUAUGUCGUUUAUUAUUGGGGGCUUUGGGACAAUAAAUUCUGAUUAAGCCUUUAUUAUUAGUGCCAAUGAAUAAUUAAUGUUUUUAGAGAAAAUAUCUCAUAAAUACUUUUUUAAUAUUCAUUAGAAAACUAAUUCAAUGAAAAUUUCGUACUUAUUUUUCCAUUGAGAGUUUUUCAAUGAAUAUUGAAAAAGCAGAACUACUUGGAUAUUUUUAUUUUGCAAGACCUUUUAGAUUAUGUUGAAACCAUUUUAAAGGGUUUGAACAGACACAAUCUGCGUAAGAUUACAACCCAUGUUUAUAGAUACAACAAAUGAAUUCAAAAUUUAAAAACCAGAAAAUCUUAGAACUGUUUCGGACCAAAUGGCUAUCAAUCAUUUUGUUUGUUUUAUUGAUUCUUUUCUUUUGUUUAAUUCUUUAUAUUGAUUGUCUAUUUCUGUGUGACAAAUCACACAGUAAUGGAGUUUAGGAUCUUUAGUUGUGUAUGGGUCGUUGGUUGUAAGUUCACGCUCAGUCGGGUCAUCACAUCGGAAUCAAGUCGAGUUUUGCUCAGUCACUUGCUCAGGUAUAUUUAUGCAUACAUGUUGGAUUGUAUUUGAAAAAGGAUUUUGGAAAGGUCUAUUUUAAACAAAAGGUUUUUGGAGAAAGUUUCAAAUCAAUGUAUUUAAUCCUCAUUGGUUUUGGUCAAGCAAUUGAGUCCCCCAAUGUGCAGCAAUGGAUCGCUUGCACGGAUCAAUUGUGAUUCAAAUCCUUUUGACUGAUUUCAUCAGUGGCCUGCAAUCGUUAGGCAAUCAACAGACGAUCCAUCACUUGAGUGGACAUUUUGUAACAUAUAAUGGCAGCCACUGGAAAGGUCUACUACUCAAGUGAAACUAAGAAAAUUCCUUAUUUGGAUAUGAUAUUCUAAAUUUUUAUAUAAACUCUUCAUAAUUCAUUUCAAGUACAACCAUUUUCUUUUACUAAAAAUAUUUUGAAAUUGAUUCAUAUUUUGUAUGACAAUUUUCUAAGUGAUUUUUGUUAUAAAAAAUGUCCUCAUUAUCAUUGCAUUGCAUUGUUCUGUCAUGUGCCGUCGGUGUGGUAAUCAGAGUCAUUCAGGAACGGAGGUUGAUGAUCGAUGGAGCUUCAUGGUGUCCUAUAGAUCAAGAAGGCUGAUGGGGUUAAGCUGCAUUCGUAGAAGUUUCGUCAAGACAUGGGAGAUAGGUAAAGCUAGGCGAGUGGUUGUAAGUCCAUGUAUGUCUUGUACCCUUGAUUCAUUAUAGUAGAUUUUUAUUGAGCAUUGGCAUCGUGAUUUUUUUUUCUUC